GAUGAACGCUGGCGGCGUGCCUAAUACAUGCAAGUCGAGCGAACAGACGAGGCUCUUUCUCCUCUUACGUUAGCGGCGGACGGGUGAGUAACACGUAGAUAACCUACCUAUAAGACUGGGAUAACUUCGGGAAACCGGAUCUAAUACCGGAUAAUAUAUUGAACCGCAUGGUUCAAUAGUGAAAGACGGUUUUGCUGUCACUUAUAGAUGUAUCUUGGUCGCAUUAGCUAGUUGGUAAGGUAACGGCUUACCAAGGCGACGAUGCGUAGCCGACCUGAGAGGGUGAUCAGCCACACUGGAACUGAGACACGGUCCAGACUCCUACGGGAGGCAGCAGUAGGGAAUCUUCCGCAAUGGGCGAAAGCCUGACGGAGCAACGCCGCGUGAGUGAUGAAGGUCUUCGGAUCGUAAAACUCUGUUAUUAGGGAAGAACAGAAGUGUAAGUAAAUAUGCACGUCUUGACGGUACCUAAUCAGAAAGCCACGGCUAACUACGUG
rnacentral:rRNA from 1 species